AAAGGAGAGUUUCCGAGUGAAUGGCCAUCGAGUGAAGCCGUACUACGAGCACCAGAGCUCGCCUAUGGAGGAGGAGUCUCAAGCUCUGCACAACCCUAGCUGAAGUUCAGCUCUGAAGUCGGGCUGGAGACUUUAACUCUAGCGCUUGGUGGGAGGCAACCCACCUUUGGUUUGUUUUUAAUUUUUAUUUUUCUUUUGCUUUCUUUGUUUUCGUUGAUUGUUUUGAGUCUUUCUUCAGUUUUGGUUGCCAACGCCGACAAAGGGAAGAAGGGAGCCAACGCUAAUAAAAAAAAAAAUAGAAAAAAUUACGUAUAUAAAAAAAAAAAAGAGAAUAGCUGAAGGAGUCCGUUGCCUAAAAGAUUGAGAAUACACCAAGUCUAAGAGAAGGCGUUGAUUUAAAAUGUGUGGGCCAAAGCUGAUAAAGGUGUUAAAAAUUGCUAAAAGAGAGGGGAAGGAGUCAGCGCUGGAUUAAAAACUAAGAAAGGGCCAACGCAGCUUUGGCUAGGAAAUUACGUCAACGAUUGAAGUUAAAAGAGUCAGCGAUGGCCAAACGUCGAAUGGAGCAGGCUAGCAAAAGAAGGAAAAGUCACCAAAAAUAACCACCCGCCAACCGCAG
rnacentral:lncRNA from 1 species